CUACCCUCUUUGUACCAAGGAGGACAUUAAUGGGAUGGAGUUAACUUUCCUUGUAGUAGCCCAUACAGAGCUGUGCUCUGCAUUUGUGACUAGAGUGGUGCUGAUAACACAUCAGUGUUUUCAUUAUUGCUGUGCAGUGCUUGCAGAGCAUCAAAGCUGUUUCUCCAGCCUUCCCCACCAAAGGCUGGUAGGUUGGAGGUGUGCAAAAGGUCGUGAGAGCAAACAGCCAGAAGAUCAGGUGACUCCAACUGACCAAAGGGAUAUUUCCCUCCAUAAGACCUAUUGAGGUGGAGGAGUGAGAGACCGACUUGUGGGGUAAAGGUGUUUGGCAUCCAGUCAAGCACCCUCAAAUCCAGAUUGCCGUAGAAGUCACUGCAUCCUCUUGAGAGCCAACAGAGCAAUGCGCGGUGUGACAGUCUCCUCUCAUCUCCUGCUGGCCAUCAUCCCUAGCAGACACUUUGAUGUCAGCAGCCCUGGACUUGCCAAGCGUCUUCACUCACCUAAAGGGCCUACCUUCCUCUGAAGCAGAGAAGAUGCAGUUGUCAUUACUGCUCGGAAGUAAAGUAAAAGAAUUUUCUUCUGUCUCUACUCUGUACAGGAUUUUGGUUUGGAAAACAGAAAAAUAUGACUUAGCCAAACUAGAGACAUAGCUGAACAAACCAUCAACCUGAACUCCUUUGCCUGUUUGCUACUGCAAAACACCAGCCUAUGCACGAGUUCUUCCCCAACAGUAGCUGUGCGCUACCCAUCUCUUUCUUGGAAGAAGCAUAAACCAUUUCAUAUCUGUGGCACUCUUUCUACCAGGUAGCCACAGUGUUUUAAAUUCACACUCAAACAGAGACACACUUUGACUAUGAAGCUGGCCAACAUCAACAGCAAAGCACACACCACGAGUUCUGUUCUUGGAGAGGACAGGACCAGGCUUUGGCAAAACAGUAAAUUCAAGGAACAGCAUAGCUCUGAGGCACCAGACAAUGCAGAAAACAGGAGGCAGGCAGUGCCUGGCAUGUGAUGUGAGGGAGGUAAAGACCUACAGGAGAUUCCAAGGGAUAUGUGGAGAAAAAGGCAGAAACUUUGAGUCCUGCCUUUAACAAAUAAUUGAGAGCCCCUUUCUUUGCUUGAACUGACCUCACUGUUACUCAACCAUGUAACUGUAUCCUCAAACAAAAGUUCAAAGCUAGACAGAGAAGACUCUUGUCAGACUGUCCUGUUAUGGGUCACUUAGGGAGCAACCACUGAUCCAUUUUCCUGCAACGUGGGAUCAAAUCCGUGAUUCCUAAAGUAUUUCUGAUUAAUAUUUUCUGCAGAGCCAGCCUUGGCUGCUUAGCCAGAUAGUUUGCUCUAAAGAGGACACUGUUGCUAGAGCUAACGUUUACUUAGUUGCAGGUGGAUGCUGCUGACGUUAAUAGAGACGGAUAGGAGAGGAGAUGGAAGCCAAGACUAAGAUAAGUAGAGAUUAGACAGUCAUACAAAGGGAGCAAACAGAAAAUAUCGAUUGGCACUUAGCAUACGACUGUGCUCCUAGGCGAGAGUACUCAGCUGACUCAGGAGGCUGUAUUUUUCCUCUCAUAAUUUCACUAAGUCAUUUCAGCAUUUUUACCCUGUUGCCUCUUUCUCCUCUGGCAGAUAAGAAUAAUUAACUCCUUCGCAAUACUUUUUUCCUAAGCCAAAUAAGUAGUCAUGGCCCUUCAAUCUUUUGUUCAAUUAGAUUCCCCCAUUUUUUUCUCAGACUGUUUGUUUUAUGUGCCAAUGAUUUUGAUGAUCUCUUCUGAGUUCUGUGAUGGUUGUUGAGUUUAAAAGACAAAUGUCCAUGACAAUGCGAUUAAUCUCAUCCAGACCUUCCUCAGACAGCAUAGGGCAGACCGACCAGACUUCAACAUGUCGAUCCUGUUGCAGUGACACAUAAUCCUGGUGAAUGGUGUGGUGAUAAGAAUAGUAACUCACUGAAAGAAGCACGUGCUGCAAACCACAUGCUGACCUCUCUGCCUCGACAGCAACACCCAUAUUUCCUAACCCCUCUGUAGUUUUGUAGUUCACAAGGCAGAAGAGACAAAGAUCUUUUAGGAUUUCUGACGAACCAUCAAAGCAUGGCUGGCGAGGUGAUGGGAUUCAGGGCGUGAGUGAUACAAGAAGGCAAGUGGGACUCUGGUGACCAGUCAAUAACAAUUAUUGAUUGUCCAAAAAACUAGCAAUGCAGCAAAAAGUAUAACUUAUGCCUAGGCUCCUAUGCCUCAGAAAUGUUGACACUAAAGCAGAACUUUGGAAUAUUAGAGCAGAAAAACUAGGGAAACCUUUUGUAAUUCAUGUUGAUUAGAAAACACACGUAUGAGUCAGAAAAAAACUAAGUCAUAGAUAUCCUAUAAGUCCUUCCUGGCAUAUGCAAAAGCCUUCAGAAACCUGCAGUUCAUGGAAGUUCUCUCCCACUGUACUCAACCAGGAAAAACUUCAGCCAGGUAACCUUCAUAUGCUGGUUAAAUACUUCUAAGUCUACAAUAAACAGAGUAGGACAUAGAAAACAUCUUUAUCCCUAUAGAGGGAUAUUAGGACCUGCACCAGGAGAUCCUGUGAACAUUAAAGGCAGACAACUAACCUUAGGGGAUACUUUAAAAAGACAGAGUAAAAUUGAUAGGCCCUGGUUACCAAAACCAAAGGAAAUAGACAGAGUAAAACUUCACUAAAAAAAUAAACACUUGGAUGUGCAUUGUAUCUCUGAAUACUACUUUAAGCAUCAGUUCUUUUCAGUUGAGCUACAGAAUUUUUUUUAGAUUUCUCAAAGGAUUUGGAUGUUCUAUUGUGGCCAGACUGUGAUCUGGCAUCACUUCCCACAAAUCAGUAUCAAAUGAAGAGAAGCAACCUGCUACACAGGCAUUUUGCAGACUAAAAUAGUGCAGAGCCUAAUCAGGAAUUUCGCGACAGGAAACAGACCUUCCUACAACAGGAAGCAUAGGAAAGACUACUGGAGACAGCAGUCCAAAAGCAGCCUCUUUGCCAAAAAAGACAAAAUGGCUAUAUACUGGCAACUCCUGCAGCAGGAAAUCACUGAAUUAAGUACUCAAUCUACAGAGCAAUUUAGUAUGUCAUCUGCUUCCUGGCAAUAGAUAUUUGGAAUCAGUUUUACACUGCAUUUUAUCUCUAUCUCAUAAUCAAGCUGAGGACAGUGUCCUCUCCAGUAAGUAAAGAGGCCAAGGUCAGAGGCUUCUCUGAAUCCUACCCAGAAUAAAUAUUUUUAACCCCUUUCCCAUCUCAAUUUUCAUAACUUUAUAAUUUCUAAUUUAGGGGCCUGCCAUUCCUGUUUCUACUCUGAUUUGGGGCCAGGGCAGACUGAGUCACUGAUAGAAAGCUUGCCAACGUUAACUAUGACAUCCAUGGGACUGUACAACAGAGUCUGAUAAAAGAUAAAUACCACAUGCCACAGUAAAACAAGCAGUAGGAGACCAAUAGAUUUUCUCUGUGAUUUGUUUGAUGGAUGCUCGGGAAACUUUUCAGGAAGUUUCUCCUAAAAUAUGCAA